AUGGCAGAGGGAGGUAACCACGGCACCAAUUUGCUGGCUGCAGAGACUGCAAGUUUAGAACAAUAGCUGCAAGAAUGGGGAAAAGUGAUGUUGAUGGUGGAUAAAGUCUUAUUAUGGGAAAGAGCUUGGUUUUCACCUGCCAUCAUGGACUUGGUUUCUUUGGUGCUUCAAUUAUCUACUAUCUAGAUCCAUCUGUUCUGUCUGCUGUUUCCUCUUUUGUUGUGUUUUGGUGCUUGGCUGACUACCUUGUUCCCAUUCUAGCACCUAACAUUUUUGGCUCCAAUAAAUGCACCAGCAAUCAACAGCAAAAAUUCCAUGAAAUUUGCAGCAAUCUACUAAAAACUCAAUGCAGAGCUAUGGACUGGUGGAAACAAAUCUUCGCACUGAAGGAAGAAAAGCCUGAAAUGUGUUUCAUGGCCAUGAUCAUUUAUCUCGCUGCAGUUGUUUGGAUGGGACAGCAAGUCCACAACCUGCUUCUCAGCUACCUGACAGUGACUUUCUUACUGUUGCUUCCUCAACUAAACCAACACGGAAUCAUUUCAAACCACACUGGAAAGGCCAAAGGGAGAUAAACAAGCUUCUCGAACAAAAAGAAAAGAAAAAUGAAUAA
rnacentral:lncRNA from 1 species